rnacentral:rRNA from 1 species
GACGUAGGGCGCGAGCGUUGUCCGGAUUUAUUGGGCGUAAAGAGCUCGUAGGCGGCUUGUCGCGUCGACUGUGAAAUCCCGCGGCUCAACUGCGGGUCUGCAGUCGAUACGGGCAGGCUAGAGUUCGGUAGGGGAGACUGGAAUUCCUGGUGUAGCGGUGAAAUGCGCAGAUAUCAGGAGGAACACCGGUGGCGAAGGUGGGUCUCUGGGCCGAUACUGACGCUGAGGAGCGAAAGCGUGGGGAGCGAACAGG